rnacentral:rRNA from 1 species
UGAGGAAUUUUCGGCAAUGGGGGCAACCCUGACCGAGCAACGCCGCGUGCAGGAUGACGGCCUUCGGGUUGUAAACUGCUUUUCUGGGGGACGAGCGAGGACGGUACCCCAGGAAUCAGCCCCGGCUCACUACGUGCCAGCAGCCGCGGUAAUACGUAGGGGGCGAGCGUUGUCCGGAGUGACUGGGCGUAAAGGGCCCGCAGGCGGUCGUGCGCGUUUUGAGUGACAGCUCCCGGCUUCACUGGGAGAGGGUUCAGAAGACGGCACGACUUGAGGGUGAGAGAGGGACACGGAAUUCCGGGUGUAGUGGUGAAAUGCGUAGAUAUCCGGAGGAACACCGAAGGCGAAGGCAGUGUCCUGGCUCAUACCUGACGCUGAGGGGCGAAAGCCAGGGGAGCGAACGG